UACGUAGGGAGCAAGCGUUGUUCGGAUUUACUGGGCGUAAAGGGCGCGUAGGCGGCGCGGUAAGUCGCUUGUGAAAUCUCUGAGCUUAACUCAGAACGGCCAAGUGAUACUGCAGUGCUAGAGUGCAGAAAGGGCAAUCGGAAUUCUUGGUGUAGCGGUGAAAUGCGUAGAUAUCAAGAGGAAAACCUGAGGCGAAGGCGGGUUGCUAGGCUGACACUGACGCUGAGUGCGCGAAAGCCAGGGGAGCAAACGGG
rnacentral:rRNA from 1 species